CGGGGGAGGCCGGAUCCUGGGCUGUGUCCCCCCGCCCUGUGCUCACGGUCUGCGCUGUUGGAUUCACGCUCCCGGCCGUGCAGCCCCCU
rnacentral:pre_miRNA from 1 species